AUUGAACGCUGGCGGCAUGCUUUACACAUGCAAGUCGAACGGUAACAGGCCGCAAGGUGCUGACGAGUGGCGAACGGGUGAGUAAUGCAUCGGAACGUGCCCAGUCGUGGGGGAUAACGCAGCGAAAGCUGUGCUAAUACCGCAUACGAUCUAUGGAUGAAAGCGGGGGACCGUAAGGCCUCGCGCGAUUGGAGCGGCCGAUGUCAGAUUAGGUAGUUGGUGGGGUAAAGGUCCACCAAGCCAACGAUCUGUAGCUGGUCUGAGAGGACGACCAGCCACACUGGGACUGAGACACGGCCCAGACUCCUACGGGAGGCAGCAGUGGGGAAUUUUGGACAAUGGGCGCAAGCCUGAUCCAGCAAUGCCGCGUGCAGGAAGAAGGCCUUCGGGUUGUAAACUGCUUUUGUACGGAACGAAAAGGUCUGGGUUAAUACCCUGGGCCGAUGACGGUACCGUAAGAAUAAGCACCGACUAACUACGUGCCAGCCGCCGCCGUAA
rnacentral:rRNA from 1 species